GAAUUCGUCUCAGCGGUCACACCU
rnacentral:siRNA from 1 species